rnacentral:rRNA from 1 species
AGCGGACGCUGGCGGCAGGCCUAACACAUGCAAGUCGAACGGAUCCUUCGGGAUUAGUGGCGGACGGGUGAGUAACACGUGGGAACGUGCCCUUUGGUUCGGAACAACUCAGGGAAACUUGAGCUAAUACCGGAUGUGCCCUUCGGGGGAAAGAUUUAUCGCCAUUGGAGCGGCCCGCGUCUGAUUAGCUAGUUGGUGAGGUAACGGCCCACCAAGGCGACGAUCAGUAGCUGGUCUGAGAGGAUGAUCAGCCACACUGGGACGGAGACACGGCCCAGACUCCUACGGGAGGCAGCAGUGGGGAAUCUUGCGCAAUGGGCGAAAGCCUGACGCAGCCAUGCCGCGUGAAUGAUGAAGGUCUUAGGAUUGUAAAAUUCUUUCAGCGGGGACGAUAAUGACGGUACCCGCAGAAGAAGCUCCGGCUAACUUCGUG